AGCUGGGUUCAGAACGUCGCGAGACAGUUUGGUCCCUAUCUGCCGUGGGCGUCGAUUGUUGAAAGGAGUUGCCCCUAGUACGAGAGGACCGGGGUGAACAUACCUCUGGUGUACCUGUCAUCCUGCCAAGGGUGCCGCAGGGUAGCUAUGUAUGGACGGGAUAACCGCUGAAAGCAUCUAAGCGGGAAGCCUCCCUUGAGAUAAGCAAUCUUCGAACCGUCGUAGACCACGACGUUGAUAGGCCGGGUGUGGAAGCGCAGUAAUGCGUGUAGCUAACCGGUCCUAAUAGUUCUUUUCGCGCUUG
rnacentral:rRNA from 1 species